rnacentral:rRNA from 1 species
GACGAACGCUGGCGGCAUGCCUAAUACAUGCAAGUCGAGCGAACAGAUGAAGUGCUUGCACUUCUGACGUUAGCGACGAACGGGUGAGUAACACGUAAGGAAUCUACCUAUAAGCGGGGGAUAACAUUCGGAAACGGGUGCUAAUACCGCAUAAUAUCUUCUUCCGCAUGGAAGAAGAUUGAAAGACGGCUCUGCUGUCACUUAUAGAUGACCUUGCGGUGCAUUAGUUAGUUGGUGGGGUAAUGGCCUACCAAGACGAUGAUGCAUAGCCGACCUGAGAGGGUGAUCGGCCACAUUGGGACUGAGACACGGCCCAAACUCCUACGGGAGGCAGCAGUAGGGAAUCUUCCGCAAAUGGGCGAAAGCCUGACGGAGCAAUGCCGCGUGAGUGAAGAAGGCC